rnacentral:rRNA from 1 species
GAUAAACGCUGGCGGCGCACAUAAGACAUGCAAGUUGAACGGACUUAAUCGAAAUAUUUAUAUUUUGAAGCGGUUAGUGGCGGACUGGUGAGUAACGCGUAAGGAACCUGCCUAUUAGAGGGGAAUAACAGUGAGAAAUCAUUGCUAAUACCGCAUAUGCCAUAGAUAUCACAUGAUAACAGUGGGAAAGGAGCAAUCCGCUAAUAGAUGGCCUUGCGUCUGAUUAGAUAGUUGGUGGGGUAACGGCCUACCAAGUCGACGAUCAGUAGCCGGACUGAGAGGUUGAACGGCCACAUUGGGACUGAGAUACGGCCCAGACUCCUACGGGAGGCAGCAGUCGGGAAUAUUGCGCAAUGGAGGAAACUCUGACGCAGUGACGCCGCGUACAGGAAGAAGGUUUUCGGAUUGUAAACUAUUGUCGUUAGGGAAGAGAAAGGACAGUACCUAAGGAGGAAGCUCCGGCUAACUACGU